GUAGGCAAAUCCGCCCGUCAUAUACCGAGGCCAACGAUCGAGCCAGCUUGCUGGUGAAGUGACUGAACGAGGUUCCAGGAAAAGCCACUAAGCUUCAGCUAUACACGACCGUACCGCAAACCGACACUGGUGCGCGAGAUGAGUAUUCUAAGGCGCUUGAGAGAACUCAGGAGAAGGAACUCGGCAAAUUGACACCGUAACUUCGGAAGAAGGUGUGCCCUAUUAGUGUGAAGUGAACAACGGAGCAUGAAUGGGUUGCAAAAAAUCGGUGGCUGCGACUGUUUAUUAAAAACACAGCACUCUGCAAACACGAAAGUGGACGUAUAGGGUGUGACGCCUGCCCGGUGCUGGAAGAUUAAAUGAUGGGGUGCAAGCUCUUGAUUGAAGUCCCAGUAAACGGCGGCCGUAACAAUAACGGUCCUAAGGUAGCGAAAUUCCUUGUCGGGUAAGUUCCGACCUGCACGAAUGGCGUAACGAUGGCCACACUGUCUCCUCCUGAGACUCAGCGAAGUUGAAAUGUUUGUGAUGAUGCAAUCUCCCCGCGGAAAGACGGAAAGACCCCAUGAACCUUUACUGUAGCUUUGUAUUGGACUUUGAACAGAUCUGUGUAGGAUAGGUGGGAGGCUUUGAAGCAGGGUCGCUAGAUCUUGUGGAGCCAACGUUGAAAUACCACCCUGGUGUGUUUGAGGUUCUAACCUAGGUCCAUUAUCUGGAUCGGGGACAGUGCAUGGUAGGCAGUUUGACUGGGGCGGUCUCCUCCCAAAGCGUAACGGAGGAGUUCGAAGGUACGCUAGUUACGAUCGGACAUCGUGACGAUAGUGCAAUGGCAUAAGCGUGCUUAACUGCGAGACUGACAAGUCGAGCAGAUGCGAAAGCAGGACAUAGUGAUCCGGUGGUUCUGUAUGGAAGGGCCAUCGCUCAACGGAUAAAAGGUACUCUGGGGAUAACAGGCUGAUACCGCCCAAGAGUUCAUAUCGACGGCGGUGUUUGGCACCUCGAUGUCGGCUCAUCUCAUCCUGGGGCUGUAGCCGGUCCCAAGGGUAUGGCUGUUCGCCAUUUAAAGAGGUACGUGAGCUGGGUUUAAAACGUCGUGAGACAGUUUGGUCCCUAUCUUCCGUGGGCGCUGCAGAUUUGAGGAAGCCUGCUCCUAGUACGAGAGGACCGGAGUGGACACACCUCUGGUGUAUCGGUUGUCACGCCAGUGGCAUUGCCGAGUAGCUAAGUGUGGAAGAGAUAACCGCUGAAAGCAUCUAAGCGGGAAACUCGUUUCAAGAUGAGAUCUGCCGGGGCCUUGAGCCCCCUAAAGAGUCGUUCAAGACCAGGACGUUGAUAGGUCAGGUGUGGAAGCGCAGUAAUGCGUUAAGCUAACUGAUACUAAUUGCUCGUGCGGCUUGACCCC
rnacentral:rRNA from 1 species